AGGUGAAAUGAUGAAUUAACAUUACCGCCCCAGUCUGAAAAUUCGUGACUGAUUGGUAACCCCUCUGAUCACAA
ensembl:snoRNA SNORD31 Small nucleolar RNA SNORD31